rnacentral:rRNA from 1 species
AAUCAACGCUGGCGGCGCGCUCAACACAUGCAAGUCGCACGAAAAAGGGAGCACUCCUGAGUAAAGUGGCGUACGGGUGAGUAACACGUGGGAAUCUACCUCUUGGCGGGGAAUAACCCUGGGAAACCGGGGCUAAUACCUCAUAAGCUCUGGAGAGGAAAGCAGCAAUGCACCGAGAGAGGAGCCCGCGGCCGAUUAGCUAGUUGGUGGGGUAAUGGCUCACCAAGGCGAAGAUCGGUAGCCGGCCUGAGAGGGCACACGGCCACACUGGCACUGAAACACGGGCCAGACUCCUACGGGAGGCAGCAGUGGGGAAUCUUGCACAAUGGGGGAAACCCUGAUGCAGCGACGCCGCGUGAGCGAUGAAGCCCUUCGGGGUGUAAAGCUCUUUCGACAGGAACGAUAAUGACGGCACCUGGAGAAGAAGCUGCGGCUAACUACGUG